rnacentral:lncRNA from 1 species
GUUCAGGGCAGUUGUGUACGCUCCCAUGGUUUGCGGCCUAUCUUCUCCACUACGCACGGUUACUAUGAAACUGGGAACGUGGGUAGACAGUUAAAUUACACUGCACUUAUAAAAACCCUCACCUUAUCUCGUGGUCUCCUCAUUCCGUAGAAACCGUCAUCCUUGUAUGAGAAUUUCAGGUGCAAUCGCCAAUCGAGGAGGUUUUUGGCAGUUCAAGGAUAUCCGCUCCAUUCCCCAUCACAGUGGCACCGGAUUCUCAAAAAGAAAAAAUCCAGUCCAAGUUCAGAGCUAUGGUUAGGGUUACACCACAGUUGAAAGUUAAAGGAAGGUGAUUGGAACCUUUGUAAUCAACCGAUUAAUGUAAAUCAUGGACCUUUCGAAGAUUGAAGAGAAUUUGUUCUCAUUUGGUGAACCAAAGAAUGUAAAUCGUCUCGUAUUUUGAGAACAUUUGAUGACGAAGCACAAGCAAUGAAGUCUGCUCGUAACUCAUCUCGAAAUGUUGGAAGAAGCAACUGCAACUGGAACAACCAUCCUUGCUAAAUACUCUGAACAAAGGGAUCACUUAAAG